rnacentral:rRNA from 1 species
AUUGAACGCUGGCGGCAUGCUUUACACAUGCAAGUCGAACGGCAGCACGGACUUCGGUCUGGUGGCGAGUGGCGAACGGGUGAGUAAUACAUCGGAACGUGCCCAGUUGUGGGGGAUAACUACUCGAAAGAGUAGCUAAUACCGCAUGAGAACUGAGGUUGAAAGCAGGGGAUCGUAAGACCUUGCGCAACUGGAGCGGCCGAUGUCAGAUUAGGUAGUUGGUGGGAUAAAAGCUUACCAAGCCGACGAUCUGUAGCUGGUCUGAGAGGACGACCAGCCACACUGGGACUGAGACACGGCCCAGACUCCUACGGGAGGCAGCAGUGGGGAAUUUUGGACAAUGGGCGAAAGCCUGAUCCAGCAAUGCCGCGUGCAGGAUGAAGGCCUUCGGGUUGUAAACUGCUUUUGUACGGAACGAAAAGCUUCGGGUUAAUACCCUGGAGUCAGGACGGUACCGUAAGAAUAAGCACCGGCUAACUACGUGCCAGCCGCCGCCGUAA